rnacentral:rRNA from 1 species
UACGGGGGGGGCAAGCGUUGUCCGGAAUUACUGGGCGUAAAGAGCUCGUAGGUGGUUUGUCGCGUUGUCCGUGAAAACUCACAACUCAAUUGUGGGCGUGCGGGCGAUACGGGCAGACUGGAGUACUGCAGGGGAGACUGGAAUUCCUGGUGUAGCGGUGGAAUGCGCAGAUAUCAGGAGGAACACCGGUGGCGAAGGCGGGUCUCUGGGCAGUAACUGACGCUCAGGUGCGAAAGCUAGGGGAGCGAACAGG